GACGAACGCUGGCGGCGUGCCUAAUACAUGCAAGUCGAGCGAUGAUUAAAGAUAGCUUGCUAUUUUUAUGAAGAGCGGCGAACGGGUGAGUAACGCGUGGGAAAUCUGCCGAGUAGCGGGGGACAACGUUUGGAAACGAACGCUAAUACCGCAUAACAAUGAGAAUCGCAUGAUUCUUAUUUGAAAGAAGCAAUUGCUUCACUACUUGAUGAUCCCGCGUUGUAUUAGCUAGUUGGUAGUGUAAAGGACUACCAAGGCGAUGAUACAUAGCCGCCCUGAGCAGGGGAUCGGCCACACUCGGACUGAGACACGGCCCAGACUCCUCCGGGAGGCAGCAGUAGGGAAUCUUCGGCAAUGGGGGCAACCCUGACCGAGCAACGCCGCGUGAGUGAAGAAGGUUUUCGGAUCGUAAAACUCUGUUGUUAGAGAAGAACGUUAAGUAGAGUGGAAAAUUACUUAAGUGACGGUAUCUAACCAGAAGGGGACGGCUAACUACGUGCCAGCCGCCGCCGUAA
rnacentral:rRNA from 1 species